GCCCUAAGGCAGAUAAGGAGGCAAAGCAGGAAGGUGACACCUCGAGCGAAGCACUGCUUGAUGAGGAGGCGGUUGUGGAGGAGGGGGAAGUAUCUGGAGAUUGUAGUGAUAUCCAAAAUGGAGCAUCCCAGAAGACUGCCUUGAAUAAAUCCACUAUGUCCUCCUGUGAUAUCUCUGUGAAGGGGCCUAAGUGGUGCGCACUUCGUGAAGCUUGUUACCAGGAUAUUGAUCCCCCAUGUGCACGGCCCAUGAUCUUUAAUAAACAUCAAUACUUCUUUUCUGAUGCGCUUCUUGGAAGUUUUGUCGUGAAAAACCGUUGUCCUAGCUUCAUAGGAAGUGUAACUUCCUACCGGCUUUCGAAGUGUUCCCUUCACAAUACGCCAUCAUGUGGCAGCGUCCACCCUCAGAGUGAUUCUAUUGAGAAGCCACCCACUCAGACAUGUGGUAGCAGAGGGUGGCUCUUAUCAUCCACCAGAAUUUUAUGUAAAGUGCUAUCGAUCGUUUAUGAAGGUCCCCAGAACCAGAUAUGGUGAAAACCCAAUAUAUACUGGAAAACCCAAUAUUUUAAUAAAUUGAAUCUCAUCAAAUAUAUAGAUG